GGGAUAAACGCUGGCGGCGUGCCUAACACAUGCAAGUCGAACGUCCUACGCAAGUAGGGAGUGGCGGACGGGUGAGUAACACGUGGGCAAUCUACCUUUCGGUGAGGAAUACCGGCGAGAAAUCGCCGACAAUACCGCAUACGCUUCGCAAGAAGCAAAGUCGCAAGACGCCGGAGGAGGAGCCUGCGCCCGAUUAGCUCGUUGGUGGAGUAAUGGUCUACCAAGGCGACGAUCGGUAGCUGGUCUGAGAGGACGAUCAGCCACACUGGGAUUGAGAACGGCCCAGACUCCUACGGGGGGCAGCAGUGAGGAAUUUUCGGCAAUGGGGGCAACCCUGACCGAGCAACGCCGCGUGCAGGAGGAAGGUCUUCGGAUCGUAAACUGCUUUUCUGUGGGAAGAGAACGGACGGUACCACAGGAAGAAGCCCCGGCUAACUACGUGCCAGCAGCCGC
rnacentral:rRNA from 1 species